GGCCUCCACCAUCUUGGCUGAGACCAGAUGUCUCUUCUCAGCUCGGGGAAAGAGACGGCGGGUUUGAUUAUGUCGUGUCAGGGGUAUUUUUGGGGUUUGUUUUCUGAGAUCAACAUCCAAGGGAGUACAAUGUAGUUCAGCAGGUGACACCCCCCUCUUAAGAUUCUGAAAGACUGUGCACCAUAAAAUACAGAAGAAAACUCAGGAAGCAGAUGCAGGGGCGGGCGGAGGGCUGUUUACCCAUGUUCCUCUAUGGCGUGGGCUUCCCAGUGGGUCUGAAUUGUGGCUUCAUUGCCAUAUUUGUACACGCUGCUGGGCUGCCUCUGCCCAGCAGCAUUAGAACUGCCGUGUCUGCUCACACACACUGAGGCUGUAAGGCACAGAGAGGAGGAAGGAGAGCCAGGACUCAGCUGCAGUGGACAGAGCAGACACACAAGAGGUGCCCCCCGUGAGAACGGUGUCUGUCCUUGGCAGACCUCUCGACCCCUCCCCGCUCCCUCUUCCCUUUUGUUCCAUGCAGCCGUGGAUUACAAAGUGCUUUCAAAAGACAAAGUCCCAUACAAACUCAAGAAAUUAUUAUUAGCUUCGGAGCUUCCCCAUUCUGCGUGCCCUGGGGACAGCCCAGAGGCUGUUACUUCCUGUUGCCAGAAUUUGGAGCUCCUGAGAAGAAAGGUUUUGAGAGAGACCAGGGUCAAAGGAGACUCUGAAUUCAACUGGUAGGAAGCUGCAGUCCUAGAGCGUCCCAGCCAGGAUGGUGCUGAGAGAUCGGAGAGGCAGUUCCUUCAUUUUCCACGGGCAGGACACGGGCUAUAGUAACCAGCCGGGAGGGGGGCUGUGGCAGAGCUGGGACUAGAACGCCCAAACUCCACCUGCCCCUGAGAAACAUUCCACCCCACCCUUGCUACCGCUCCUGGGAUCUUUUGGCUUGAAAAAAACCUUGGGUUUAAAGGCAACCCAAGAGGGGGUUGUUGGCCCUGAGCCUUCAUGCAUCGCCAUGGAGAGGCUGAAGAAUGCAGAGCACUUCACGAUGACACCCUCUGGAUGGUCCAGGGGGAUUCAGAUGCCCUCUGCGGGCUUUUAUUGAGUUAAGGGAUCACGUGAUUUACUGGCCUACGUCUGAGGCCUGCACAAGGGAUACUGAACAGAUGAAACCUCAGAGAGCCCACGGCUGCAGGUCACUGGCUUUCUCUCCUGCCCACCUGGAUUUUUCCUGGCAUUUGUUCCCAGCUCAGAGAAAUGGAGCAGGGAGAUGCUGACAGAGCAAAUCUGAGGUCCUCCUUUGAGAUAGUUCUUAGAUACGGUCUUAAAAUGCGGGCUCCAAACAUAGCUUUUUAAACGAGGACUCCAAAACACAGCCUGAAAAGCUACCUCCAGUGCAGCGUGAAGAAUGCUUUUCUAAUCCUCCAGAGAAAAAUCAUGGACAGGAAUUAACAUUUAUAGAAAUGGUAUGCUUUCUUCCUUUUCUGAAUGUCUCCAGUUAAGGCUGCCUUACAAAUAGGACUCCUAACCAAUUUAAGACCAGCCCUUCCUCAAAGCCUAGAGACAAAAAUGUCCGUGUUUGAGCGGCUCCCCUCCUCCUGCCCCCAGGCAUUGGAACCUUUUCCCAAUGUUGAUAGACCUGAGGGCUGACCACCCAACUGUCUCCAGCCUUUUCCCACCUCCCUUUGUCCUUCCUGCCUUACGGAUCUCAGGUGGACAGUGGUGUCAAUUUCACUCCUGGGAGUUGCUGCUAAAUCUCUUGGCUUUUCAAGACUGCAGGCGAGUCAGUCUGUCAUCUCAUCUGGAGAAACCGUUUGGCCUUUUUCUGAUACUACAUAGCCAGUCCAUUUAAGUCAGCUGGCCAACUCUAUUAAAUAGACACGAAGUGGGCAGGAAGCUGGUUGGGGAGUGGCCUCCUGUAAAUCCCAGCUGUUGAUUGAGUUGGUACCUCACUUCUGUAAGGUGCACACACUGUGUUUCUAAACUAGGGCUGCCAGUGUAUGCCUCAUUCACACCAGUGGGCCUAGGUUAAACAUUUUCAUAUUGAAAAACCAAGAGUGAACAUAGUGAAAUGUAAAAUUAAUAACAGUUUUUCAAAUAAAAAUCAGAGACCUCAGGAAGUUCCAAGCUUACCUCUGGCACCCCAGAGGCUUGUUCACUCUCCCUGAAAAUGUUUUUAGUGGAAAGAUUCAAGCAGCGCUGGGCUGGGCUGUGUGUGUGUGUGUGUGUGUGUGUGUGUGUGUGUGUGUGUGUGUGUGUGUAAGUAACUUCCCAAGUGAUAAAUCUCCUCCUAUCCAUUAGCCUGUGUUCUCUGAAAAGCUGAUGAGGGAAGAAAGAUAAAGGACUAGAAUGUAGAACACGUCAGCAUUGGGAGGGAGGUGAAUUUUGCUUCCUGAGCUCCGUUUACCAUUUCUUGAGUCAAGAAGUGGUGUAUUUCAAGCACUUAAAGUCUUCAUUUCUGGAAGUCUUUACUGAAGGCCCAGUUGUUGCUAGAAGUUGGGGUGGUUGGGUGGCAUGUUGGAAAUAGAGGAUGAGAUUCCUGCAUUCAGGGAACUUAGCGGUUGUAUGAUGAAUCAAGAGUAAAGCACGCAAAACCCUAGGAAAUUAAGAACAUCAAUGAUGGUGUGCUAACUAUUGUGUUACGAAUGCUAAAUGCAGGAGGAAAUCAACCCAAAAGCAGGAGCUCAUGAGGCCUAAUGUAGGAUGCAGGCCUCCCGCAGAGAAAACAUGGUAAUAGAAACUGUUCUUAGAGUAGAGAAGCAAGAUGUAUGCGCACACAAUGGAAUAUUAUUCAACCAAAUGAAAUUCCGAUCCAUGUCAUAACAUAGGCAUACCUUGAAAAUACUACGUUAAGUGAAAUGAGGCAGACACAAAAAGACAAAUACUGUAUGAUCCCACUUACACGAGGCACCUGGAAAGUCAAAUUUCAUAGAGACAGAGUAGAAUAGAGGUUCCCAGGAGUCUGAGGGGGAGGAGAGGGGGAGGGAUUACUGUUUUAUAGGUAUAUUGUUUCAGUUUGGGACGAUGGAAACACUUCUGUAAAUGGAGAUUCUGAUGGCCACACGCAGUGUGAAUGUACUUAACGCCACUGUACAUUUAAAAGCGGCUAAAAUGGGAAAUUUGACAUUAUGUAUAUUUAUCAUAGUAAAAUGUGUGUGUGUGUGUAUAUGUAUGUGCAUACACACAUGCAUACAUAGAUAUAUAUAUGUGUACAUAUGUCUAAAACAACCUUGAGCCAUGCUGUGAAAUGCGCAUAGGUUGGUGUUGAGCUCUUCCUAGAAAAAGCAAAGUACACAGGACCGAAUUUUGCCCCCGGCCCUAGUGCAUUGACAAACAAGAAUUGGGAGGGGCUGACAGUUUCCCUGAGAGCCCCGAAGUGAUACGUCAGCUCCUACACGCCUUGCUGUUUAUGAUUUCUUCAAACAUCCUCUCUGUCACUUUGCAUGUUAUGUUGUGGGUUGUCAGGGAUCAAGCUGUUGAAAGAGGGUCCCCCUGACUCUUGUGAGAUGGCCAGGCGGGUCUCUCUGGUUCGCUGGCCGGCAGCAGAUAGCUUUGAUAGGAGGGACCCAUGCGGCUCUGAGAAAGUCAGCCUUUUUUGCUCCGUCUGGUUGCCAAAAUAAACCGGAAUGCUUCAUUCCAAAGAGAAAGCUGAGUGAGGGGCCUGACAGUUUUAUAGGGAAUAAAAGUCUCAGAGGGUGGUAUAUUUUACUUUUUCCUUCCAAUCGUAAGAGUUGGGGAAAACAGCUAGAGAGGCAGUUUGGCUUUAGGGGGAACUUCUGUUGGGGGUGUCCAGUGCCUUGGGUAGGUUUGAGGGGGAAGGGCACCAUGGGCCUGGGUCCCAGGUGACCAUGUCCCUGCUUCCUUAGGCCGACCCGGGGUCCUCGUCCCCUCUGCCCCGUACUCGGGCUGCACGCCAGCCUGUAUCUCAGUGCUUCCUUGUCUAUAGAACCUCUUGAAUAAGGCCCAGCUUUUCCUCAGCUCUUUAUCCUGAGCCCCUGGCAGAGUCAUUGGGAAUGAUGCUUAAGAGCGGGAGGGAAGAGGAAGGAAGGAGCCCCCGAAGGACAAAGGCAGACAGAUGGGUUUCCAGUGUGUUUCCAAUUCGCUGGUCUCCCCAUGUCCUUUGAAAAGUUGGAUCUUCAUUUUAACUUUAAUUCUGUGUCAGGGCCUUCCGAGCCUUCUGAGUUUUCCCUAACAGUAUCUUAGAGUAAGUAGCUUCAUUUUCACAUGACGCAGUUGCACAAAUUCACUAACUAAAAACUGGAAUUGAGGCUCACAGGCCAUGAAGAUGUUGUGAAGUUACUGCAAGAUAUUUAACAGAAUAGAGACUCGAGUCAUCUGUUCAUUAUAUUUAUCCUUUUUUGUCUAAGUCACAUCAAAACUCUUUGUCACAUUCUUUAAAAAAAAAAAAAAAAACCACUUUAGAUUGAGGGGAUCCACGUGCAGGUUUGUUAUGUAGAUACACUGUGUGAAGCUGAGGUUUGGGCUUCAGUGGAAUCUGUCAUCCAAAUUGUGUACAUGGUACCCAGUAGCGAGUUUU